AGGACGAACGCUGGCGGCGUGCCUAACACAUGCAAGUCGAACGGACGAAGGGAGCUUGCUCCCCUAGUUAGUGGCGAACGGGUGAGUAACGCGUGAGCAACCUGCCUUUCAGAGGGGGACAACGGUCGGAAACGACCGCUAAUACCGCAUGAAGCAAUCGGACCGCAUGAUCUGAUUGCCAAAGAUUUAUCGCUGAAAGAUGGGCUCGCGUCUGAUUAGAUAGUUGUGGGUAACGGCCCACCAAGUCGACGAUCAGUAGCCGGACUGAGAGGUUGAACGGCCACAUUGGGACUGAGAUACGGCCCAGACUCCUACGGGAGGCAGCAGUGGGGAAUAUUGGGGCCAAUGGGGGAAACCCUGACCCAGCAACGCCGCGUGAAGGAAGAAGGCUUUCGGGUUGUAAACUUCUUUUACCGAGGACGAAGAACGUGACGGUACUCGGAGAAAAAGCCACGGCUAACUACGUGCCAGCCGCCGC
rnacentral:rRNA from 1 species